rnacentral:misc_RNA from 1 species
GAGCAGGUCUGUUCGAGCGUCUGCCAACCGAAUCAGUUGUCGCCACGCGGUGACAAGAGUGAGGAGCUGCAUCGUUCGGUUGCACUGCACUCUUCGAAUAUGUGCGAGGCCACAUUGUGACCAGGCGGGGAAGACGGUCGUCACCAUGACAAGUUGUGCGGUCCCGCCGAGGCUGCAUGGUCGGCCCCGUGACCAUCUGGACCUCGAAUCAGG